GUAAACUCCACACAGACAGUCGCCUGAGGGUGGAAUUGAACCUGGCCUACUAGCACUGUGAGGCAGUAGUGCUAACCACAGUGCUACCAUGCCACCCAUUCAAAACUGUGGUGUUAUACCAGUGAACUGCAUCCAUUUCAAGUCAAUAUCUCUUUUCUGAGGUGGCCUGCCCAGAACUAAUGGAUGUACUUCAUCUAGGGCCUGGACCGUGAAAGCAAAACUUCAACCCUUUUGUAUCCCAGUUUCCUGAAAAGCAUACCCAAUGUUCAGUUAACCUCAAGUGGCUGAUAACUCCUCUAAUGCACUUGGCAAAAGAACAUGAUCCAAAUUUAUAAGGUCAUUGGGAUGUAUUACGCCUCGGAUUUACGCUUACACUUUUAAGGAGAAUAAAACUUGAGAUCAUAAAUAUAUACCAAUCACUCAUAAAUCCAGUUUAAAAUUCAGGAGAAGUUAGGUUCACUUGGAAGUCAGGGAGGCCAAUGCAAUGUUAGCAUUCAUUUCAAGAGGGCUGGAAUACAACAGCAGAGAUGCGCUGCUGAAACUGUAUAAGGCUCUGGUCAGACAGCAUUUGGAAUAUUGUGAGCAGUUUUGGGCCCUGUAUCUAAGGAGGGAUGUACUGGCAUUGGAGGGGUUCCAGAGAAGCUUUACAAGAAUGAUCCCAGGGACGAAGGGUUUGUCAUACGAGGAGAGUUUGAGGACUCUGGGUCUGUACUUGAUGGAAUUUAGAAGGAUGAGGGGAGGUCUCAUUGAAAAUUCAGAAUAUGAGAGGCCUGGAUUGAAUGGACACAGAGAAGAUUUUUUCCCAAAGUAGGAGAGACCAGAACCCAAGGACACAACCUCAGAGUGAAGGGACGACCCUUUAGAACUUCGACUAGAAGGAAUUUCUUCAGCCAGAGGGCAGUGAAUCUGUGGAACUCAUUGCCACAGAAGGUGGUGGAGGCCAAGUCAUUCAGGGAUAGAUAGGCUCUUGCUUAGUAAGAAGGUCAAAAGUUAUGGGGAGAAGGCAGGAGAAUGAGGUUGAGAAACAUGUCAGCCAUGACUGAAUGGCGGAGCAGACUCGAUGGACUGAAUGGCCUAAUUUUGUUCCAAUAUCUUACGAUCUUAUGAUCAGUCAGCACCAUUUUCUCUUGCAGUACAAAUUGUGGUGGUAGUUUGAAACUUAGCAUUCUUGUGUUUAUCCCAGUGAAAGCAAGUUCAAAUACUUCGACAAUAUGUCUCUCUUUGCAGUAUGUUUCAAGCUCUGGAUCACAUGAGGGAAAUUUUAACUUAGCUUUCCAAGCAGGAUUCCCACAGGAUCAGAUGGAGUCCUGCUUUUACGGGUCCACUUCAUUUUACUCUCUGUUACUUCCAAGGGUUAAGAAAGACUUACGUUAAUACGAUGUAUUUCCUGCCCAUCUGCUUUACAGACAAUUAAGUAUUUUUUGACAAUACGAUCAUUGGUGUGUUGUAGGAAAAUGACAGCUAAUCUACAUAUGUCAAACAAAAAUGUGAUAAUGACUUUCUUAUUUUCGCAAUGUUUAUUGAGAUUUAAGUGUUGGCCAGGAUUCCCUUGCCGACCAUGAAAUAGCACUGUGGAAUCUUUUAGUUUAUUCUGAGAGAGUAGUCAAGGCCUCAGUUUAAUGUCUGACUUGAAAGGCUGUGUGCAGAACCUCAGCACUUCGACAGUACCACACUGGGGUGUCAAUUUAGAGUAAUUGGCUGGGCUGUAAAACCAGCGCUGCAUUCAAUCCGGUCUGUUGUCUGACUGGUUGAUUUAGUUUAAACUACCCCCAAAAUUCAACAUUUGUCAUAUUGCAUUUGCAGUUUAAAUUAGCCUCAUUGUCUGUUAAUUUGUAUUAAUUGUAUUUUUCAAAUUACCUUUCAAAUAGUUCUUUGUGUGUCCAGCUGUCUGUGUGUGACUGAGUCUAUACUUGUGCACCCUUUAUAUCAGCACUUUAUAUAUUCACAUCCUCACUCCCAAGGAUUAAAUCAGUUUACCAUCCGAGUAGUAGACUGGGGCAGAGAAAGAGAACCUAGUUGUACAGUUUAGGCCCUGAUUUGGGACAGAGUCCUGAGACCCUGACUGAUUUACAGACUAAGUCCCUGACUUCCGUCAUGCAUUUACAAUAGCAACAUGAAUGAGUGGCACUAAGGCUGAUGGCACAUGGUAGACCCGAAACACGUUGAAUUUUUGUAUUACUGGUCUGAAUAGAGUUGCCAUCUCUGUCAAGGCACAUUACUGAAAAUUUGAUCACAUGAUCACCAACACCCCAUAAUGGUAAAGCCUUUCGACUUGGAAUAUAGAUAUACAGGCUAUUGGGAAUAUGAGUUCAAAUCCCACCAAGGCUGCUGGUGGAAUUUAGAUGCUAUUAAACAGCAAUUCUUAAAUUGAAUGCUAAUCUCAGCAAUGUUGACUGUAAACUGGUGUAAAAAUCCAUCUCAUUCGUUAAUGUCAACGAGAGAAAGAAAUCUGCGGUCCUUAACCUGCCCGGUCUACAUGUGGCUGCAACAAUGCAGUUGACUGUCGCCUCUCCUCUGUGAUAACCCAGCAAGUUGAGCAGUUAGUUCUGGGCAAUGAAUGUUGACGUCACCACUCAAACCUAUGUCCCAUCAAAGACAUUUAAUAAAAAAUGGUCACAUGACACAAUCACUGUCACAGCUUGUGCCUUCCUUUAGGCAAUUGGGAAAACAGGUGGAAUCCUCAGUGGGAAUAGGAGUGAGGGAGUGAAACUGUGUGGGCAUGAGGAAUAUAAACAACAGCAUCUCCUCGAAGAGAAAUAUAUGUUGUUCUGUUUCUGUCAUUUUUAUUUUCUUUAUAUUUAUGUGUUCAAUCCUCUUUCGCCCCAAAAGUAGAAUCAGCCAUUGCCUGGAAACAGGAAAUGCAGGUAGAAACUCAGCAAUGAAACCACAUUAAAAGACACAGUGCUCAUUGAAGCAAUUGGAAAAUGUAGAAUAAUUUUGAGCCCUCUGCUAAUUGCUGCAAUAGUCUUGCAGCGUCACUUUGCAGGUCCCUAGAUAAGUACCAACUUGCAUUGAUUUCAAUCAACUCCUCACCACAUGGGAGCGUAGAUGUUGCUCAUCAGUCAAGAUGUAGUGUUUUAAAUUCAGUUCAUUUCAGGGGUGUAAUUGGAGUCUGGCUGUGCAUUGUAUUUAUAAAUGUUUAGCGCCUGGGAUGCACUUUCCUGGGAAGAUGAUGAGUCUGGAGUGGUCCAAUCAUGCAUUCAAGUUGGGCUAAGGAGGGAUCACCAAUCAGCCUUUCCGCUCCUGAUUAUUGUCCAUUGACUUUUCUCUCCCUUGCUCCCUCCCCUCAAAGUAAUUUGCCUCAAUGAACCCCAGGUAGCGAGGCAACACUAAGGUAUUGAGUGCCUCUCCUACUCACCUAUUGCAUUGGUCAACCAGUCGAGGAGACAGGGAGGAUGCAGAGGGGGUGGGGGUUGGGGCGGGCGUGCAGAAACAGUUUUAAAAUGAAAAUAAAAUAUCCAGGACAGGAGGGGUGGGAGAGAAUAGCAUCUGUUUUCAACUGAAGGUAAUUCUCACUUGCUCAGUGGACAGUUUUGUUUCUGUUCUUUCCUUUGCCGCCAAUCACUAAUUGACCUUUGGAAUGAAUGGCUCGUUUAGCCAUUUCAGAAGUGGGUCAGUUAAGUGUCAGCCCAACAUUGCUGUACACCUGGAGUCACAUGUAGGCCCAGGCCAGGCAUGGAUGGCAGAUUUCCAUUGGACGUUGAGGAAGCAGAUGGGUUUUGAAACAUGAUGGUCACAACUGAGACACAUUGACAACUCCAGGCUUACACAAUGCGACAUUGGGAUUUGAACCCAUGUCUCCAGAAAAUUAGCCAGGGUUUCAGCAUUACUAAUACUCUUGUUUACAUAACACUACUGUUUACCCAAGUGUUAUAUUUACCUAAGGGGGAAUGGCAAAGGAGGUAAGCUUCACAAUAUCAAUUCAGGGUUAGUUAGGUUGUUUGAGGGAUGCAUGGUGAAUGAUUUGUGUGUGCAUCUGAUCCCGGCAAGCCUUUAAUCUGAUGCCAUCACCUCCAGUGCAAGAAGGGCAGUGGGAAUGAAGGGAUGGCCUCAGCGAGCAGUUUGAAAACCCACAGGCUUGCGAAAAACAAAUUGCCUUCCUGAAUAUUUAAUGCUGGCGUAAUGGAAUUGCAUUUUACUUUGGCAGAGCUCUCUGGGUCUGCCAGGCAUCCAGGCUGCACUGUGAUCACUCUGUUCCCCAUCGAACAUGGAUCUUGACUGUGGCAAAGAGAAAGGUCACACAGGCAGCUUUUGUUAAUGACUGACUUGGCUGUGAUAUACUGAGAAAGUGGUUGCUGGCUGAAUGGAAGGGUUUAAUACCAACACAGAAGCUCCACUUGGAGUUGGGACCUCGUUUGGUUUCAGGGAGUGGGGAUGCGGUUGGCUGUGGGUGAGGGGUGGGGAAUGGGAGAAGGGAAUGUACUUUUCACAGCAAUCCCCUUCUUCUCUCUCUCUCCUGGACGUUCCUGGCAGCGAACAGCAGUAUCAGCUUGUGCCUUGCGCAGUGCCCAGUUAACCCCAGAGUCUGUGGGACUAAGCUUGACUCUUGUGCGUUUUGCUUGUGAGUGCAGGAGGGUGCGCGUGUGAGCUUGAGCGAGUGUGUAUAUUUGUGUGUGUGUGUGUGUGUGUGAGAGAUGGUGAGUGUGCCAGCGUGCAUGAGCACAUGCGUGUGUGCAGGCCUGCGAGUGUGCGUAUCAACGUGCGUACGUGAGUUGCAUGUGUGUGUGAGUGAGUCAGUGUGUGCGCGUGGGCAAACGCGUGAAUGUGUGUGUGGGUUGCACGUGUGCCUGAGUUGAGUGCGCACGUGUGUGCAUGUGUGAGCAUGUGCAUGUAUGCACAUGUGCCUGAGUGAGUGUGCACAUGUGUGCGCGCGUGAGUAUGCAUGUGUGAGAUUCUGCAGGAGCUUCGACCAUUGCUGGUAGCCAGUGAAAAGCUAACCUGGAUUAAUCCACUAACUGCAUGUUGGAUAAUGACCUGAGACGCAAGGGGAACAAGCACAUGGUUUGACUUCAUGCACCAGAAUUAGUCGCAUCUGAUGGGCAUUUUUCUGUGCUUCUUGCAUAGCAGCGAAUGUCUGACAGGUGCGACCUUUCAUGAGACAGUCAAAAUGAUUGGCUCUCUGCCCAGAAUAUUGCUGCAACACUCUCCUUGAUUGGUUGUCUCCCUGUCAUGCAUUGCUUCACAAAGGUUCAAACUGCCUUUUUUUCCCCAAAGUAAUGUACAAUGGCUGGCUGUAUCAUGCUGCACUGUAAGUAUUUUUGUAAACGCAGGUAGACUGUUGCCUUUGCAUGUUACUUCCAGCUUGACGCAGGAAGAUUUAUUUUUUAAUUUCCUGAUCAUUUCUUUUGUUUUUUUUAAUUGGGAUGGGAGUUAAAUGCUGGUUGGUAAAAUGUUGAUGUAUCUGUUUCUCCUACAGGUUGGUACUGAGAAGUGCCUUUCCUGGAAUCUCUGCUGCUUCGAAAAGCUUCUAGAGCAGUCUCUGCUUUAUUGUCUUGCUUGCUGCCAGCUAGGACUGCAACAACUGCACAUCCAAACCCUUCGGCUUUAGUACAAUCACCCAUUUCCCCCCCCUUCUUCCCCCCCAGACCCCCUCCCUCCUCUUCCCCCUUGCCCAGCCCCUCCCUUUCAUUCCCACCUAGGUCUGAAAGAGAGAGAGAGAAAGAGAGUGAGGGAGAGAGGGAGAGAGAAAGAGAGAAAGAAAGAACAAACUUUUCGCAGUAUAUCAGCCUGGCAUUGCUCUCUUGCUAUUUCACUGUAUCGAACAGAGAAUUUUCACAUAAACAAAAAAAAACAACUCUACCGAAACACUUACCUUCUGCCUGAAACAACCGAGGGGAUUAAAACAAAAAACAAAGUCUGAUCCCGGAAGGUCUGAUCAUUUUAAAUUGCUGCAAUCAGCUGGGCAGAGUUGAUCGAUAUUGAUUGCCAUAUCAGCGAGCUGGAUGUUACCUCUCGAAUAACUGGCACUGUGCAACAACUGGGAUCCUCACUGAGAGCUAAGCCUUGACCCAUCUCCAAGCUUCAAAACAGGCCUCAGAUUGGGAACACGUUAUGGGUCACUGAGAGUGCAAUUGCCCUGCAUCUGACGAACAAUUCCAUACCAAUGAUAGCACUGUUACUUUUGCAACCAAAAUAGAGAGAAAAAAAAACAGAAGAAAAGCCUUUAUUCUUUCUGAAAUUCUUUUUUCUAAAAAAAAAGAAUCUUCGCCAAUCUAAUGCCAGGGGUUUUCUCUGAAAGGAAACUUCCUUGCGGUGAUCUUUCUGUCGAGAAAGCCUUUAAUACGCUCAAAACGAGAAAAAAACAAAGGUUAUCUUUUAUCCCCCCCAAAAAUCGUCAAGUUUUUCUUUAACCGACGUUCUGCAAUCAACGUGUUUGUCUCUACACUGUUCCGGACUAUCUCGCCUGCCUGUUAACUCACAAACAUGGCCGUUAGUGUGGCACAGAUACGGGACACAAAAUGGCUGACAUUGGAAGUGUGCAGAGAAUUUCAAAGAGGCACUUGCUCACGACCAGACACAGAAUGUAAAUUUGCACACCCUUCUAAAAGUUGCCAAGUUGAAAAUGGACGAGUAAUUGCCUGCUUUGAUUCACUGAAAAUUGAGAUGUAUAUGCAGGGCAACCUGUCACUUUCCUCACGCCUACAAUUAUAAAUGGUGACAUUUUCAGCAGCUAACUCAUGUUUGUGUAUGGCCAUAUGGAUAGUAACUUUUCUUGAAGUCUUCAGCCAAGAUUCCUACUCCUACUUACUAUCCAGUAACUAUGACUUUCCGGAUUAAGUCAAUGCCUUAAGGAGGGGGGGGUGGUGAAAAUGCUGGAAUAACACAUGAUCAUCAGAAUAAAAUAGCAAAACACACACGAGUUGGCAACAUUGGGAAGAUAUUGUAUUGGGCUUUGAAGCGUUGAUUUAUUCAAUGCAUUUCUGUGAAAGUAAACUACAGUUAUUUUUGACUCCCCAGUCUCUGUUCUCCUCAGUUUUUCCAACUAUGAUCAAAAGGAACUUAACAAAUCUUUAUCACCCCCUCCACCCAUUAAAAUCUUGAAGAUAUCCGCUUGGGUUGCUCCGUCUUUGUACCUCUGCUGCCAAGGCCAUGAGUGGCAUGGUGGCACAGCACCAGUGACCUGGGUUUGAU